UACGUAGGGUGCAAGCGUUGUCCGGAAUUAUUGGGCGUAAAGAGCUCGUAGGCGGUCUGUCGCGUCGGCUGUGAAAACCCGGAGCUCAACUCCGGGCCUGCAGUCGAUACGGGCAGACUGGAGUUCGGCAGGGGAGACUGGAAUUCCUGGUGUAGCGGUGAAAUGCGCAGAUAUCGUGAGGAACACCAGAGGCGAAGGCGGUUACCUGGACAGUUACUGACGCUCAGGCACGAAAGCGUGGGGAGCAAAAGGG
rnacentral:rRNA from 1 species